AGUGUUGAUAGCCAAUGCAGUAGCCCACAGUCUCCAGCCGUCCAUUUAUGACAGCAUCAUCCAGAUCAAAAGGCUGCCUUACCUGCCCGAUAUAAUCCCCACCAAGUCCAGCACUUACAAUGUGUUUGUGGAGGACUUCAUGAUCCGUGACAUCAGGUUUAUCAGCUAUAUCGCCACAUACCAGGAUGUGAAGAAUCUAUUGGAGACAUCCAAGUUAAGGACAUUCCCAUUGGUGGAUGCCCCAGAGUCCAUGAUUCUCCUUGGGUCUGUACAGAGACUGGAGCUGGAACUGUUACUGGAGGCUCAGCUUGGACGACAGCG